GAUUACUCAUCCGGGAUACGGGCUGUCUUGAAAACAGCCCUCGAAUGUUCAACUCAUUCAGUAAUUU
rnacentral:tRNA from 1 species